UGGGGGAUAUUGCACAAUGGGCGAAAGCCUGAUGCAGCGACGCCGCGUGGGGGAUGAAGGCCUUCGGGUUGUAAACUUCUUUUGCUCUGAACAAGGCGCACCAUGGGGUGUGUUGAGUGUAGGGGUUGAUUAGCGCCGGCUAACUACGUGCCAGCAGCCGCGGUAAUACGUAGGGCGCGAGCGUUGUCCGGAAUUAUUGGGCGUAAAGGGCUUGUAGGUGGCUGGUUGCGUCUGUCGUGAAAGCUCAUGGCUUAACUGUGGGUUUGCGGUGGGUACGGGCUGUCUUGAGUGCAGUAGGGGAGGCUGGAAUUCCUGGUGUAGCGGUGGAAUGCGCAGAUAUCAGGAGGAAUACCGGUGGCGAAGGCGGGUCUCUGGGCUGUUACUGACACUGAGGAGCGAAAGCAUGGGGAGCGAACAGG
rnacentral:rRNA from 1 species